rfam:Schistosoma mansoni strain Puerto Rico chromosome 6, complete genome
AUCCAGCUGACGAGUCUCAAAUGGGACGAAACGCGCGUCAAACUGGAU